CAAUAGCGUAUAUUAAAGUUGCUGCAGUUAAAAGCUCGUAGUUGGAUUUGUGGCGUGGUCGUCCGGCGGGGCUCCUUCAUUGGGGCCGUUUGUCUGGUUUUUCGACCGCACCAUUCUCGGGUAGUGUGUCGCUGGCAUUAGGUUGUCGGCUUCUUCACGCCCGUCGUUUACUGUGAAAAAUUAGAGUGUUCAAAGCAGGCUUAGGCCGUUGGAUACAUUAGCAUGGAAUAAUGAGAUAGGGCCACGACGGUCUAUUUUGUUGGUUUGCACGUUGCGGUAAUGAUUAACAGGAACGGUUGGGGGUAUUCGUAUUCAAUUGUCAGAGGUGAAAUUCUUGGAUUGCGUUACGACGAACUACUGCGAAAGCAUUUGCCAAGGAUGUUUUCAUUGAUCAAGAACGAAAGUGUGGGGAUCGAAGACGAUUAGAUACCG
rnacentral:rRNA from 1 species